GUGCCAGCGCCUAAAUGGGACCUUCCCUAUCCCAGAUCUCAGCUCUAAGCCAGCUAGCAGGAAGGACUCGGGAGAAAAAGGAAACCAAAUCUGUAGCGCGGUGGUAGACUCACUGAGCCAGCACUGCCCAAACCGGCCCUUCCUGACGCCGCACGGGAUAUCCGCAGAUUAAAAUGAAUGUUUGUUCAGAUGAGGAUUCAAGAAAAGCUGAUUUAGUGAGAGAGGAAGAGAGAGUGAGAGACAUCGAUCAGCUGGACCAAACCCACACAACCUAGGGAUACUCUCGCAGUUACCAAACACUGGUCCCUGACUCCUGGUAAAGUCGUGAAGCCCUGCUUGAAAGCGCUGCCACAUCCCUAAGGAACACAGCACAGACCACUCCAACCCGCAGUCUUCUGGUGGCACAGUGGUGAGGGUGGAACAAUGGACCAAGGAUGAGAAGACCUGAGUUCCCAUUCUGACUGACACCAUGUGAACAGUUUGUCAUCGUUUCAGUCGCUUAGCUCUCCCAUGAAUCUCGCAGGCUUGUGCUGAGAAUUCAAUGUCAUGACAGGAAUUAACACAUCUCACAAAUGGCCAAGCCAAGGAGAACUAAAAUGUCAAACUAGUCAAACCAGACUGAAAUGUCAUUUUGGGCACAGUUUACAGCUUCGUGACACUACUUGUCUGUCGGACACACAUAACAUCCGAUGGUGCUGUAGCCACUCCUCCCUGGACUGGAAAACGACUCCUCCCUUGGCCCCAUCGUGGUUCAGAAAGCCCACUUAAAAAAAACGCUUUAUUCUUUCUUUUUAAAAUUUGGAUGGAAUUUGUAAUUUAGGAGAAACGAGCAUUUUCUAGUUGUAUUUCUUGUUUGUAUGCCUUUGCUUGGUCUAUUUCAGAAGGAGGAAAAUUAUUCUUGGCACACAUACAUGAAAAACCAACCUUUGGCACCCAUGCCUUUACACAUAAAUGUGAUCUCUCCCAAUGUGACAGUCCUAAUGGAGAUAAAUGUACUUGGAGCAAAGUAUGACUUACACAAAAAUAAUAUGAAAACAAGAUAGAUAUUAUAGUGAAAGAAAAUGAUUUGAAUACACAGGAAACUUACUUCCCCAAAUGAUAUACCCUAAUGCCUUAAGAACUGUAGGGAGGAGCUCAGCUUGAGUUUGUGAGAGAAGAAAGAUUCCUUAGACAUAAAGUCUGAUGCCACUGAGAAAAUAACAGGGUUACAAAUGCCCAGAGUUUUUUAUGUCCCAAGCACAAUCUCUAGAAAUGCCUCACUUGUUGGGUGUGUAUUUCAAACAGUUCAUGGAUGACUGGUGGUUCUUGGGUGUCUUCUAGUUCUCAAUCCAACUUACCCAAAACACGUUUGUUCUUUUUUGUAAGUGAAAAAUAUAUUUUCCACUGCAGUUUGGGAACCAAAUUAGAUAUGAAAAAAAUCCUAUCCAAAGAAACCCAAAUAUCUACUCAGACAAAAGCACCAUGGGUCUUUUCAAGGUUAAUACAAGCAGGAAAAAGUGAGUGCUUUAUUCUCAAGUUCCAUAACUAUCAUCUAGAUUUCUCUUAUAAAUCUAGAGAAAUUCUAGAUUUUCUCUUAGAAAUUCUUCCUUCUACAGAAGAAGAAAGAAUCACUAUAAUGAAAUUAAUUCCAAGAAAAUACUGAACACAGAUGGAUUGCUUUUUAAUCUUUUACUAUUUAUCAUUUGAGAAUUUGAGGGGAGCAGAGAAGAAGAAGGAGGAUGGAAGGAAUUGGUCUAUAACGGUAUGAGUUUGAUAAUAUGAGUUUCAUAUAUUAAGUUCUUAUUUCCUUUGACAUUUUUCAGUUAGUUUUAUUAUUUAAAAUGGAACUGAUUCUCCAAACUGUAAUUUCCAAAUUGUUUUACUUUCGAACUAACUGUAGUUUUUCUUUAAAUACAUUUCACAUUAUCUUAAUGUCAUUGGAAUAUGUUGCUGAUAUAAUCUUAA